rnacentral:rRNA from 1 species
CACGAAGGGGGCUAGCGUUGUUCGGAAUUACUGGGCGUAAAGCGCGCGCAGGCGGCCUUUCAAGUCAGGGGUGAAAGCCCGGAGCUCAACUCCGGAAUUGCCUUUGAAACUGUCAGGCUCGAGUACGGGAGAGGUCGAGUGGAAUUCCCAGUGUAGAGGUGAAAUUCGUAGAUAUUGGGAAGAACACCGGUGGCGAAGGCGGCUCACUGGCCCGUUUCUGACGCUCAGGCGCGACAGCGUGGGGAUCAAACAGG